rnacentral:tRNA from 1 species
AGGGGUGUCGUUCAGUGGUAGGACGGCGGUCUCCAAAACCGUUAACGAGGGUUCGAUUCCUUCCACCCCUGCCA